GGGCGCUGCAAGGGUCGGCCUGACGGCGGCGCGGACGGGGCCACACCCCGACGUGGAUGUUGAUUGGGCCAGCCCGAGGUGGGCGGGAUCGCCCGAGGCUGGACACCCCAUCACCCAGGUGCCCCCGAUGCUGGCGCCCGGACUGUUCAGUAUUUGAAACGAACCUCUUACCGCGGAAGUUAUCCGAUGGGGAUUUUUAUUCCAGAAAACUUGGUUUUGAGAUCAUCAAAACCUUUUCAAGUUGCUCAGCCGCCCGGAGAAGAGGCCACCAUGUACCUGCGACUAGCCAUGGACGGGGAGAAACCAAACUGCUGUGUAUUUUCAUGCUUUUCUAAAAGGUCACUCUUCCCGAUGGAUCGGGGAUGGCUGCCUGAUGCCCACAGAAUGCAGCUGCGGCUCCUUUGCCUUCCAGUAGCUCCGGUUCCCUGCCCCCGUGUGACCAGUCUCCGGGGGGUGUUCCUGCCACACCCCAGCAGCUGACACCUGCCGAGUCCUGCACGACAGCCCGACUCUGACACCGGCGACCCGGCGACAGCAUCAGCUCCCCAGGUUGAGGACUCCCCACUCCCCACAGGACUGCGCCCACGUGGACCCCGGGAGCAGGUCCAGGGCCACCCGUGCAGACCCACGGCCUCGAAGCCGCCCGCCCUCUGCAGUCUGACUGAUUCGCAGAGUGGCUCACGAAACUCAGGAAACCCGGUGACUUACUGGUUUAUUAGAAAGGACAUGAAAAGAUACAGAUGAACAGCCAGAGAUGAAGACACACACAGGGUGAGGUCCAGAAGGGUCCUAAAUACAGGAGCUUCUGUCCCCGUGGAGCCUGGGUGCAGUCACCCACCUGGCACAUGGAUUUGUUCCGCUUCACUAACCGAAAAGCUCUGACCCCCCCCCCCCCCCCCCGUUGUGGGGUUUUAUGGAGGUUUCCUUAGUAGGCCUGACUGAUUAAAUCUUUGGUGAUUGAACUCAGCCUCCAGCUACUUUCUCCUCCCCACAGGUCGGUUCCCCUGGCAACCAGCUCUCAUCCUUAGGCCAUCUAAGGGGCUUUCCAAAAGUCAUAAUCAAAAACAUAGUCAUUCCUUUAAAAUACUCUUCUAAUUCUAAAUUAAGGAAUCUUUACCCUCAAGGAGUUUCUUACAAUUUGAUAGGGAUGAUGAUAAAUACACAAUGAACACAUUAAAGACUGGGCCACUUACAACAAAACAUAAAGGGGCAAUGGGAUUUAGGAUAGAAAAAUCUCAUCCGACUAGAGACCAGAAAAGUUUUCAUUAAGAAGCUGACAUUUCAGAUGGGUCCCGAAGGAGCGGGGAAACUGAAGACUUCAUCUGCAAGUGGAGCAGGGAGGUGGAAAGUAGAAGAAAUACUGUGAAGGGGCCAAACUAAGGGACAUAUUUAGGAAGAAUGUUAGUCUAGUUUGCAUCGAAGCAUAGGAUACAGGUAAAGAUGAGGAAAUAGGAUUAGAGAGGAUUAAGGUAUCGUAUUGGGUAGAGGACUGAAUUCCAUACUUUGUUGUUCAUUCUUCAUUUGCUAAAACAGUAGGCACUCAAAAAAAAUGUUGCAGUUUACAUGGGCAUCAGGAACAGAAGUGGUCCUUGAGAUCCAACAGCAGUACCUGGAAUGGACUGGAAAAAUACUUGAAAGGAGCGGGUCUGUAGCCAACAGCUCCUCGGUAAACGCAAGAUGAUUGGCCAAGGGACCUUGUGUUGAACUUCUCUGCCAUAUACUCAGAAUAUUAUGUUAAUGUGUCUAAUUCCUGUUGACCGUACUAUGAAAAAGGUUUCUUACCUAAUUAAUCGUUUUACUGAAGAAUUUAAACUGAGACUGCCCAUGUAAAAAAUUUAGAUUUGAAAAUCUUAAAAAUUAAAAUUCUUUCUGGACACUGUGACACAGCCCUCAAGAUCAUUUAAUUGCCAAACUAGUGAAGUUAUGCUACACACCGUAAAAGUGACAGUAUCAAUGACGAUGUGGUUCCUUUUCAAUCCUGACAGAUGUUGGGACAUUGAUUUUUGAUAAUUACAAAAUUUAAAAUAAGAGGAAAUAAAUUCACCUGCAAGUCAGCUGAGAUACUAACAUUGAUAUGUAGUGUUCUCUUGUGACAGGCUUACUACUUUCCACAUACCUAUAUUGCAGUAGCAACUUGGUUUUUAAAAGGAAAACCUUAAAAGGGUUGGAUGGGAUUACUUUUGGGGGAUAACAAAGAAUAUAAAAAACUAACAUUUAGUAAAUGGUUUACAAGUUCUGUGAAUUUGGUGUUCAUUAAAAAAUGUUAAGUAGAGAAUUUUUAUUUUCAAUAGACAACUUUAAUACGUUUUACUACCUCUUGGUUUUUGGGUGUCUAGAUAUGCAGAGUUUUCUGUUCUUAAAUUAACAAAGAAGUGAGAAUACCUGGUUAUCAUAGCAUUUACAAUAGUAUAGAUCAGCUGAUUUCUGGAUUCUUUGAAAAAAAAACCUAAAAAUUCAGUCAUUAAUAUUUAGUAAACUUCUGAACUAUUUAAAAUUAUGAUCAUUCUUAAUGUAUCUAAAAAACAAAAAAUUAGAUAACAUAAUAUACUAGAAAGAGAAUACGCUCUGGGGACAAACUGGCUUUCCCCCUUACUAGCUAUGUGACUUUGGAAAUGAAAAUUGAUUUAACCCUGUCCUUCUGAUAAAUGCUCUUACUACUGCUUAAUUGUAGAGUCAUCAGGAUUACACGUGAUUGUAACUGUAACUGAGUAUUUUCUAUGUAUUGGACGAACAGUUGGCAAACUUUUCCUAUAGAGGGUAUGAUAGUAAAUGUUUUGGCUUUGUUAGGCCUAUGGUCCCUGCCACAAUUAUUCAACUUUUUUCUUUAUAUAAAAAGAGAAAAUAUAAAAGCAGCCAUAGACAGUACAUAAAUGAGUGUGUCUAUGUUCCAAAAAAACUUUAUUUAUGGAUGAAUUUUUAAUUUCAUAUAUUUUACACAAGUCAUGAACUCUUCUGAUUUUUUUCAACUAUUUAAAAACCUUUAAAAAAUCAUUCUUAGCUGCUAUUCCAUAUAAAAACAGCCGCAGACCAGAUUUGGCCCAUAAGCCAUAGUUUGCCAAAGCCAGUCUUAGACACUGAAUUACACACUAUGGGAUGCAGAUGCUAUAACUUAAUUUUAUAGAUGAAGGAAACAGGUAUAGAUCUAAUGUGAAUGACUUGGAGCCUCCCAGCCAGUGUUAGAUCCAUUAAAAAUGGCUAGUUUAGAACCUCACACGUGGUCCAGAGUCAACUGAAAAAAUAGACAUUUUUGCAACACUUUUCAUCUUUUUUAUUCCACAGCAUUUCCGGGAUUAUGAGGCCAAUAUACUGCUACUCCUACUGAAAGAACUUUAGAGUUUUCUUAUAAGCAGGUACUUGUUGAUUGACUUUGUUUUAAUGUUUGAAAAGGUGGUUUAGUUGAAACACAGGUAGGAAAAAAAAAAAUCACUCUCUCGGUUAUAUAUAGCCUCCCCCCGCCCCCCGCCCCGAAAGUGCUUCAGAUACUUUUUUCCAUUCAUUCUAAAAAGAUUCUUGUGUAAGAGAAUAAUUAGCUUCCUAAUUUUUUGUUUGGGGAACCC